rnacentral:lncRNA from 1 species
AUCUAUUUUUUCUCAUUCUAGUGGCAGAGCAAGCUUGGAUGGUCUACAUCUCCAUAGGCAACUGCUUGCAGCCGCCUGCUGGUUAAGGCACAAAAGAACUUGCAAUGCCUUAUGUUAAAUAGGCAUAUCUGAGCUUCCUUUUCCCUUGUUUACUUUGUUAAAUCUCUGCUUUAACUAUUGUUUUUCAGUUUUUAAUUUGCCGCUGUUUUACUCUGUUUCCAGUAAAAGAUUUGAAGUCCCUCAAGAACUAAAAUUAUAUGGUGAUGAAUGAAGGCAU